GCUCUGGUGGUGGAAUAGGUAGACACGCAGGACUUAAAAUCCUGUGGGCAGCAAUGCCCGUACGGGUUCGAUUCCCGUCCGGAGCA
rnacentral:tRNA from 1 species